GGCUCCCAGGUCGGAAGAUACAGCUGGGGUGAGGGAUCUUCCAUAGUACCCCCAGCUGAGUACAUUUGAGGCUGCCUAUGACACGGUGUCACUCGUAGGGAAGCCAUGCACACUGGCACGCUAUCAUUUUAUUUUUGAGACAGGGUCUCGCUCUGUUGCCCAGGCUGGUGAGCAGUGGCGCAGUCAUAGCUCAGUGCAGCCUCUACCUCUUGGGCUCAAGCGAUCUUCCUGCACCACCACACUCAGCUAUUUUCUUUUCUUUUUUUUUCCGUAGAGAUGGUUGAUUUCUUCUCACCUUGAUCUUGGGACUACAGGUGUGAACCAUGGCUCCUGGCCUAGGACAGUGGCUGAGCCCAGUGCUGGGAUUGAGGAUAGGGAAUGGGCGCUCUUGAACUGCUGAUUGGCUGAUCCCUAUCACCCACCAGAAGCUGCAGGGGAAAGGUGAGCGCUGGUGACAAGGGCAGCAGAUACCAGUACUCUCAGGAGUCCGUCCAGGACCUUCUGGACUUCAAAAUGCUUUCAAGCACUUACCUUCUCUGCAUCCCCAACAUGGAGCUGGCAAAUACAAAGCCAGGCUGGAGUGCAAUGGCGCGAUCUUGGCUUACCGCAACCUUCGCCUCCUGGGUUCAAGCAAUUCUCCCGCAGUAUCUGCUUAUAGGACCCAGUGCUCCCGGUGAGACCUCUCCAUUCCCUCUCCCUCCCUCCCUUUCUGCCUCACACCCUCUCUCUCUUCCUGUCCUUCUAUAUCUGAGUUGUGUUUGGUCUGUGAUGUCACCGCCCCCCUCCCUGUGGCUGCCAUUCAGAGCUGGCAAUAAUGAAUAGCGCCGGAUUCCCACUCACUGGGCUCCAGCAGCACUACAGAGACACCAAGCCCUUUGUUGCAAAUAAUUAAUUUGGUCCCAUGUUUCGUAACAUCCUAAAAAGCUUUCCGGGGCGAGCACCUGCCAGACACCGUGAUCUCAUCAAUACUGCAUCGCAUCGGACACAAUUGCUGUGUGCUUUCAUUAAAAAUUUAAUUUGUGGUUUAAAUCUGCAGUGUUCCCUUUAAAAGGAUGUCGGGGGCUGGGAUGAAAAGGGAGGGACAGGCUUGGGUCUGGGG
rnacentral:lncRNA from 13 species